rnacentral:lncRNA from 1 species
GCUGCAUCAAGCCCUUCAGUUAAAGAACCUUUCCUUGCUGCUUGCAGGCAAUAGUCGAGUGCCUGUACCUGCUGAUGGCUCCAUGUUCUUAUUUUACAGGCCUCCUCCCAGUCCAUCUGGAACAUUGACUGUUACUUCUGGGCAUGCCCAAUACCAGUCCGUCCCGGUCUAUGAGAUGAAGUUUCCAGAUCUGUGUGUAUAUUAACUGGCUCAUGAAGACUACAGCAUUUAAAAAGGAUCUUAAAACCUGAAAAACAGGGCCAAGACGAGUUUCAGGAUUUGCAUAAGGCUUACUGGAAUGUCCUGAAGUGUUAUGGGACUUGUCUCUACCAACACUUGUCAUGCUGUAUUAGAGGUUUAGGGCCCCUGAUUUAGUACCUCUGGAGAUAAGCUUAUACCACAUUAAUUUGUUUCGAGGUUCCUGUUAGAUUUAAGACUGAACAUGUAUUGCUUUCACAUUAUGCUCUUGUUUAAUAGUAUAUUUUAAACUUUGCACAAACAUGAUUUUAAAAAAUGAUUGAAAAAUGUAUUAAGUGUCUGCUCCACUGCUUAAAAAUGGAUUGCUUUUAUUUUCUUUUCUUCAAAAGUAAAUAUAUUCCUAAUUUUAGGGUUGCAAAUUCUCUCGUGCUUUCUCAAUCCAUGCUUCAGAUGGACUGUGUAGGCAUCCCGUCAGUCCUCCAUAGUAACAUGCGGCAGGCAUUCCUAGGGAGCCCGUGUAGACUGUGUAGACAUCCCAUCAGUCCUCCAUAGUAACAUGCGGCAGGCAUUCCUAGGGUGCCCGUGUAGACUGUGUAGGCAUCCCGUCAGUCCUCCAUAGUAACAUGUGGCAGGCAUCCCUGGGGUGCCCGUGAUAGAAAAUAUCUCGUGGAUAGCAUUCCACCCAGGUUCCCAUCUGGAACUGGUCUUGUGAUACUAUGUUUUCUGCUUCAAGUUGAGCUCUUGAGCCCCUUAAAGCUCACUCUUGGAGUGGGAAAAAGGUAAAGUGUUUUUCAUAUAUAAUGUGUUAGUUUACAGACUGCGCUUUGAAACUAUAGUUGUAUUUUCCUGUGAUUCCAUUAAAUGAAAUAUAUAUUUACUAUAGAAAAGAAAGACAUUUAAAACAGCUACCUGUUCACCUGUGCAGAGUCCAUAAAUUUCAGUUUCUUAAUGAAUUAAUUUACAUUUUAUAUUGACGUUUUAAGUCUUCAUUGUACAAAAAUUCUCCCAGUGAAUCUUUUAAUUUGUAAGAGUUGAACCAAAACUUAUAUACAUCUCUAUGAAGAUUAGUUAUAUACUUCAAAAUAGUCUGUGUGUUCUUGCUACGUUGUGUGAGUGUAAGCUGCCUGUCACUUGUGAGACUUGUAAGACUACAAGGGCAGUAUGUACUGCACAUGCUAGCGACACCACCGCAUGCUAAACAGAAGAAUUCUGCAGUUAGAAAAUUCUCCUAGCACAGUUUUGUGGAAUCACUUUGUAUAACUCUACCUUUUCAAAUUCAGUUUCUUUUUACAUAAAACAGUAUUCCUGUCAAAAAGUAUAGAUCAAAAAUAAUUCAGUUUUAGUUUUGUUUUUGUUUGAAGAAACGAGAUAAAAUAUAGGGUGUUUUAUCAGUGUGUUUUUUGGUUAUUUGGGCAUCAUUAGUAGAAAAAGGGAAAAAAAAAAGAAAGAAAAAGAAAAAAGAAAGAGACCAGGCAUGCCCAAAGCUCUGAAUAUUUACAGCCAAGUAGACCAUCUUGAAGAGGGGUCCAUUUGCUAUCACCUCUGACAGGACAGCCCAGGCUGCUGACCAAGUGCAGAUCUACCAGACCUUGUUCUCAAGAGGGACACCGCAGCUGCCACUGGAAGGCCAGUGCUCUGCUCCAGCUCUCACUGUACUUCCCUCACACCGGGAAUAUGUUGCCAGUUAUGAAAAACCUAAUGCACUUUUGUUUCCCUUUUUUCUUCUUCAUUUUAAAAGAAGGAUAUUAUUUUUUGAUUGCAUUUAAAAUCUAGACAGGGGGACAUGCAAAAACAAUCAUCAUCCACUUGGAUGUCAUUUUAUAAAUUAACACUGUGUGCUUUUGUAUGGAAAAAUAUAUAAUUUAAUAGUAUAAGAAAAGAUAUAUAUUCACUGGCAUUCAUGCAGAACACAAACUUUGCUGUACACAUUUUGUGUUUCUUAGUGGUUUAAAAUGGCAUGCUUUGCAUGCAAAGGAAAACCAUUGCAAUUAGUCUUUUAUUAUACCUGUAUCUUGGGUUUUAUAAACUGCUGGCUUGAGUUUUGUUGCUCUUAAACCACAGUACAUGUCUGGAUAUCUUAGGUCCAACAGACUGAACUAGUUUUGUUGACAAGGGUUCCCAAGCAAUGGAUGUUUGUCUGUCUGAUUCUUCCACAUUUACAGGAAUCACAUUUGGGCGCGUGUGCAAGCUAUGCUGUAGCUAGUUCAGGUACUGAAUCUUUAGGACUUGCAGAAGUUCAUUUUGGCAGGUACAUGAUACUCAAAGCAUUUAUCAUUCUCCUUGCUGUAUACAGUUGAUUAUAUUCUUUUGUGUGACACCAAGCUGUUAAUUUAAACAUUCCUCCUACGCUAGUGUCUAGGAAUUUUACCUGAACUCUCAUACUCAUUCUCUCUCAUUUCCUUUUUCCUCCCCCUGGUCCUCUCAGUUCCCUCCAACCUCCUGUAGAACUCAUUAUCCUUUAGAGUAAUACCACCCUUAACCAGCAGUUUAACUCCCCACUCCCUCAAAGGGGAUUCAUUUGUCUCACUAAUGCUUAUAUGUAUACACAUAUAACAUUACUGUAUUACUGUAACAAAGUAUGUUUUUUAAGUGUAAAUUUUCAUUGUGCAAUCAUAUGUAAGCAAUAAAACAAAUAGAAAAAUAACAUCACUUGUGUAUAAGUACAUUUUUAUUAUAGCAUUAUGUAUGUCGAAAUAAGUUUCUUCAACAAUCAAAUUACUCAGGUGGAUUCUUUUCCACAUAUAUGAGAGACACUAGAACCAUAACUUAUGAGCUUGAAGAAAGCCUAGAUUAAGCCUAUUGGUUGCCUCAUCUAGGAAAGGCUAAAGGCAUGCAUGUAAAUUUUCUGUAGAUGGCCUACCACAUUAGCAUGCAAUGGGUAAGCUCUGUAUUGUAGAACCUUCAAAGAUUUCAUCCCAGGAUUGCUUCUUACUAUUGAUAUGCCUUUGCUGUCACUAUUACAUAGUCUAAUGGUUCCUGGGCAUUAGCCCACCCUAUUGGACAAAUUUCCUGCAGAUCAAAAUAAAGAUGAAUUUU